UUUUAAGACCCAUGGCUGUUUGAUCUUUUUUUUUUGUCGUGAGCUGUUUGAUCUUUUCAACGAUAUUAAUAUAUUUACCUUGCGUUAAUGGGAACGGUUAAUAAGUUAAUCGUUGAGUUUUAUGAAAAUUAUUGUAGGAAUUAGAAAGUUGACACAAGAAUACUUUGAGAAAAGGUCUCAAAACAGAUGGUGGUCUAACUGAGGCCGCGAAAGCAGAUGGUGCUCUAACUAAAACCGCGAAAACAGAUGGUGCUCCAACUACUCCAAAAAAACUUAGUAAGCGUUUGAGCUAUAGUCACUCAAGAUAUUUGGCGAGGUGAAUAAAUCGUCCCUUUUCUCUUCCCAUUGGAGAAAGGGAAAUAGGUUUUCUAUGGCCAUAUAUGUAUUGGACGAUUAUAGCCAUAUAUCUAAUUGGCGAGCACAUGAUGUCGUAUAGUUCAUACAUAUAGCUAUAUAAUAUAUAUAUAUAUAUAUAUAUUAUGUAACUAAGAGUACAAUAGUUUACUUUCGUAUAUGUGACCAUUUUUUUUAUUCCUCUUUCUCUACUUCAAAUUGGUUUCGAAGGGUUCAAUUCGAGUUUCUCUCUCUUCUUUCACACAGAUAAAAGCUAUGCCGUUUAGUUUUCACCGAUCUCCCAUGAUUAACUGUUUCAUUCUUUAAGUUUGCGCACUGAAGUACACAUUGGUAUUAUUCAUCUUAAACUGAACAAUGGCGCUCAUCACGAAACUCAUUGGAUUGUAUUGACGCGUUCCUGUCUGCCUGUUUUAACUUCUCAUCAGCCGCAUCUGAAACACACCCAAGCCUGAGUUUCAUUUGAUCGCUAUACACAUAACAACCUUUUUUGCUCUCUAGUCUUGAUGACACGCUUCCUAGCUUUCCGUCA